rnacentral:lncRNA from 1 species
CCCUCUGCCCCUCCGCCCCUCCGCCUGUCCGCCUCUCUCCUUCUCCCUUGUUCCCUCUCUCCCUCCCUGCUCCCCCACCUCCCUCCCGAGUCGUAGACUCCCUUCCCCCCGGCGCUGGGAGUCUCCUUCCCGCCCCGCCGCGCAGGUGCGGCGACGGCCGCGUCACUGGAGAGUGUGUCGAGUCACAGGCGGUCUUCCGCGCGGAGCGUCCCCGGCGGACGCUGCGCAGAUGGCUGCGACUGUAGGAUUCUUGCCGGCUAGUCUUCGUCGGUUCCGCCUGCGUCAGGUUACUCGUGAAAACUCGAAUAAGUGCUAUCGAUGUGAAAUCCGAGGAAAAGAGCAUUUGGGGGAAAAGUUAAAAGGACUUCUGACUCAAACUCCUCCUCUUGAGUUUGCAGUUUGCCACUUCCAGCCUGGCGACUAGGUGCUGAUUAAGACUUGGAAAGAAGACAAGCUCCACCCAAGCUGAGAAGGUCCCUGUCAAGUGCUGCUGACCCCUGAGAUGGCCAUAUGUACAGCUGAAUGGGGGUGGACUCACUAUACUUGUCAAGGGACUGGUAAAAGAGACCCUGGAAGGGUGGGAAAAAGACCAGUGGAAAGUACAUGGGUCACCUGAGGAACCCUUAAAAUUAACUCUGAGAUGAAUCUAAAAAGAAAACAUGGGCUGGUCCCAUUUCUGGAAAUUAAUAUGGCUGGGAUGGGCUACUAUGCAAAGAGAAGAAGGUCAAAGUAGAAACUAUCAGGGGACUCCUCCCUACCCACUCAGGUUGGUAAUUAAUGUAAACAAGAUG